rnacentral:rRNA from 1 species
UACAGAGGGGGCAAGCGUUGUUCGGAAUUACUGGGCGUAAAGCGCACGUAGGCGGACAUUUAAGUCAGGGGUGAAAUCCCAGAGCUCAACUCUGGAACUGCCUUUGAUACUGGGUGUCUGGAGUAUGGAAGAGGUGAGUGGAAUUCCGAGUGUAGGAGGUGAAAUUCGUAGAUAUUCGGAGGAACACCAGUGGCGAAGGCGGCUCACUGGUCCAUUACUGACGCUGAGGUGCGAAAGCGUGGGAGCAAACAGGG